rnacentral:rRNA from 1 species
GAUGAACGCUGGCGGCGUGCCUAAUACAUGCAAGUCGAGCGAACAGACGAGGAGCUUGCUCCUCUGACGUUAGCGGCGGACGGGUGAGUAACACGUGGAUAACCUCCCUAUAAGACUGGGAUAACUUCGGGAAACCGGAGCUAAUACCGGAUAAUAUAUUGAACCGCAUGGUUCAAUAGUGAAAGACGGUUUUGCUGUCUCUUAUAGAUGGAUCCGCGCCGCAUUAGCUAGUUGGUAAGGUAACGGCUUACCAAGGCAACGAUGCGUAGCCGAACUGAGAGGGUGAUCGGCCACACUGGAACUGAGACACGGUCCAGACUCCUACGGGAGGCAGCAGUAGGGAAUCGUCCGCAAUGGGCGAAAGCCUGACGGAGCAACGCCGCGUGAGAGAUGAAGGUCUUCGGAUCGUAAAACUCUGUUAUUAGGGAAGAACAAAUGUCUAAGUAACUAUGCACGUCUUGACGGUACCUAAUCAGAAAGCCACGGCUAACUACGUG